GAUUCAGCAAAUCUGGAGCAAAGCAUCAUGGUAGAAGUUACACAGCGAGCUACAACUGAUGCAAAUAUGGAACGAAGCACUACAGAAGUUACACAGCGAGCUACAACUGACGCAAAUCUGGAGCAAAGCACGGUAGAAGUUACACAGCGAGCUACAACUGAUG